rnacentral:sRNA from 1 species
UUUUAGCCCCGGGAGGAGCGGCAUCCUUUGUUUUUUUUCUUUAAAAAAAUAAAGAUAUAGCGGAUCACGGGACGAUGA